rnacentral:lncRNA from 1 species
GGGGUAACUCGAAGAUGGCGGGGACCAAACUGGAACAACUCCGCCAUCCCUUUCUCUCCUACUACUACUAGAUGAUUCUGCUGUGGAAUCCUCAGCAUUUCUCAACCCGAUCGGGAAGUUAAGUUGCAGGUUGCGUGCUGUUUCUGGAAUCGCUUGGUUUAAAAUGUCUCUCCGUUGUUCUCGAUUUAUAUUUACAGUUCCUGGAACUUCUGCUCUGCUAUCUUCUGCUGAAGUUCUAAGAUACAAAGAAGACUCUUCAUGUUCACCUCUCAACAAGGAAGAAGUGAUGCUAGGAACCAUCUGAUCCUCAUAUCUCCGUGUUGUAGCUGGAGCAUUGUUCCUAGCUGGUUCAAUGUUUUCCUCCAUUUGUAUGUCUUGCGGAAAUGCAAAUGGCACUGACUCGGAAGAGUCUCCGAGGCCUUCCUCAGUUCCAUUCUCGAUUGCAGCUCUUGAAGCUGCUUCUAGUUGCCACAUCUCUGAAAGUGCUUCUUGCAACCUGGAUUUUGCAGCAUCUAUUCCUACAAUAGGCAGAGGGUAAUUUGACCCGAGCUCGAUGCCAGCAGCUUGGAGUACAGAUUCAGGAGCAUUCCAUGGAUGGUGAAUCCAAUCAGUUGGUAGUCUUGCAAGUUCUGGAAGCCACCGACGGACAUAUUCUCC